AUUGAACGCUGGCGGCAGGCCUAACACAUGCAAGUCGAGCGGAUGAAGGGAGCUUGCUCCUGGAUUCAGCGGCGGACGGGUGAGUAAUGCCUAGGAAUCUGCCUGGUAGUGGGGGAUAACGUCCGGAAACGGGCGCUAAUACCGCAUACGUCCUGAGGGAGAAAGCGGGGGAUCUUCGGACCUCACGCUAUCAGAUGAGCCUAGGUCGGAUUAGCUAGUUGGUGGGGUAAAGGCCUACCAAGGCGACGAUCCGUAACUGGUCUGAGAGGAUGAUCAGUCACACUGGAACUGAGACACGGUCCAGACUCCUACGGGAGGCAGCAGUGGGGAAUAUUGGACAAUGGGCGAAAGCCUGAUCCAGCCAUGCCGCGUGUGUGAAGAAGGUCUUCGGAUUGUAAAGCACUUUAAGUUGGGAGGAAGGGCAGUAAGUUAAUACCUUGCUGUUUUGACGGUACCAACAGAAUAAGCACCGGCUAACUUCGUG
rnacentral:rRNA from 1 species